rnacentral:RNase_P_RNA from 1 species
UGCAUCAGUCGACAGCUGCAUUUUAUGUAGAGGAAAGUCCGUGCUAACACCAUCUGCGAUGAUGGUAGUGAUCGUGCUAAGCCAAAUAAGCUUAGGUUAUGCAUUAUGUGUAUAAACGACUAGUGCCACAGAGACGAGAAAUAUGAAACGGGUAAACUCCACGAGUUAGAAACUCAAAUUUUGGUAGAGGAAUCAUUAUUUUAGAACUGAAUAAAAUAAUGGAGUGACAUUAAGUCAUUAGAUAAAUUGUCGACCUAGACAGAACACGGCUUAUAGAU